rnacentral:rRNA from 1 species
AUUGAACGCUGGCGGCAGGCUUAACACAUGCAAGUCGAGCGGGGUGAUGGUGCUUGCACUAUCACUUAGCGGCGGACGGGUGAGUAAUGCUUAGGAAUCUGCCUAUUAGUGGGGGACAACAUCUCGAAAGGGAUGCUAAUACCGCAUACGUCCUACGGGAGAAAGCAGGGGAUCUUCGGACCUUGCGCUAAUAGAUGAGCCUAAGUCGGAUUAGCUAGUUGGGGGGGUAAAGGCCUACCAAGGCGACGAUCUGUAGCGGGCCUGAGAGGAUGAUCCGCCACACUGGGACUGAGACACGGCCCAGAAUCCUACGGGGGGCAGCAGUGGGGAAUAUUGGACAAUGGGGGGAACCCUGAUCCAGCCAUGCCGCGUGUGUGAAGAAGGCCUUAUGGUUGUAAAGCACUUUAAGCGAGGAGGAGGCUACUUUAGUUAAUACCUAGAGAUAGUGGACGUUACUCGCAGAAUAAGCACCGGCUAACUCUGUGCCAGCCGCCGCCGUAA